CGCUUUCAAAAUUGUUAUUAUAAAUAAAAUAUAAUACAAUAGUUUUAAGCCUGACAGGACCAGUUAAAAUUCAUUCGUCACGAUGGCAUGGAUACAGAUUUUCUGCUUUGCAUAUCUUCCCUGGAUAUUGCAUACAUGGAACUGGGACAGGUAUGAUGAAUGCCUUGAAAGAGGAAUGUUCUACUGUUAUAUUAGUGAGGAGUGUAUCAGCAU